UACGGAGGGUGCGAGCGUUAAUCGGAAUUACUGGGCGUAAAGCGCACGCAGGCGGUUUGUUAAGCUAGAUGUGAAAGCCCCGGACUCAACCUGGGAUGGUCAUUUAGAACUGGCAGACUAGAGUCUUGGAGAGGGGAGUGGAAUUCCAGGUGUAGCGGUGAAAUGCGUAGAUAUCUGGAGGAACAUCAGUGGCGAAGGCGACUCCCUGGCCAAAGACUGACGCUCAUGUGCGAAAGUGUGGGUAGCGAACAGC
rnacentral:rRNA from 1 species